rnacentral:rRNA from 1 species
CCUACGGGUGGCAGCAGUGGGGAAUAUUGCACAAUGGGCGCAAGCCUGAUGCAGCCAUGCCGCGUGUGUGAAGAAGGCCUUCGGGUUGUAAAGCACUUUCAGCGGGGAGGAAGGCGGUGAGGUUAAUAACCUCAUCGAUUGACGUUACCCGCAGAAGAAGCACCGGCUAACUCCGUGCCAGCAGCCGCGGUAAUACGGAGGGUGCAAGCGUUAAUCGGAAUUACUGGGCGUAAAGCGCACGCAGGCGGUCUGUCAAGUCGGAUGUGAAAUCCCCGGGCUCAACCUGGGAACUGCAUUCGAAACUGGCAGGCUAGAGUCUUGUAGAGGGGGGUAGAAUUCCAGGUGUAGCGGUGAGAUGCGUAGAGAUCUGGAGGAAUACCGGUGGCGAAGGCGGCCCCCUGGACAAAGACUGACGCUCAGGUGCGAAAGCGUGGGGAGCAAACAGGAUUAGAUACCCGGGUAGUC